rnacentral:rRNA from 1 species
UAGGGAAUCUUCCACAAUGGACGCAAGUCUGAUGGAGCAACGCCGCGUGAGUGAAGAAGGUUUUCGGAUCGUAAAGCUCUGUUGUUGGUGAAGAAGGAUAGAGGUAGUAACUGGCCUUUAUUUGACGGUAAUCAACCAGAAAGUCACGGCUAACUACGUGCCAGCAGCCGCGGUAAUACGUAGGUGGCAAGCGUUGUCCGGAUUUAUUGGGCGUAAAGCGAGCGCAGGCGGAAAGAUAAGUCUGAUGUGAAAGCCCUCGGCUUAACCGGGGAAUUGCAUCGGAAACUGUUUUUCUUGAGUGCAGAAGAGGAGAGUGGAACUCCAUGUGUAGCGGUGGAAUGCGUAGAUAUAUGGAAGAACACCAGUGGCGAAGGCGGCUCUCUGGUCUGCAACUGACGCUGAGGCUCGAAAGCAUGGGUAGCGAACAGG